rnacentral:snRNA from 1 species
AUACCUUUCUCGGCCUUUUGGCUAAGAUCAAGUGUAGUAUCUGUUCUUAUCAGUUUAAUAUCUGAUACGUGGGACAUCGUCCCACAUGAUAUUAAAUUAAUUUUUUUCUUGGGGGAGGUCCCACCACAAUAGCUUGCUAUUUGGGGUCCUCGAGCGUCGCCCAUGCGUUGCACUACUGCACGGGCCUGGCGCACCCCCA